rnacentral:rRNA from 2 species
ACUGGGAUAACUAUUGGAAACAAUAGCUAAUACCGGAUAUAGUUAUUUAUCGCAUGAUGAGUAAUAGAAAGGAGCUUCACAGCUUCACUUAAAAAUGGGGGUGCGGAACAUUAGUUAGUUGGUAGGGUAAUGGCCUACCAAGACGAUGAUGUUUAGCCGGGCCGAGAGGCUGUACGGCCACACUGGGACUGAGAUACGGCCCAGACUCCUACGGGAGGCAGCAGUAAGGAAUUUUCCACAAUGAGCGAAAGCUUGAUGGAGCGACACAGCGUGCAGGAUGAAGUUCUUCGGAAUGUAAACUGCUGUUAUAAGGGAAGAAAAAAUAGAAUAGGAAAUGAUUUUAUCUUGACGGUACCUUAUUAGAAAGCGACGGCAAACUAUGUGCCAGCAGCCGCGGUAAUACAUAGGUCGCAAGCGUUAUCCGGAAUUAUUGGGCGUAAAGCGUCCGUAGGUUUUUUGCUAAGUCUGGAGUUAAAUGCUGAAGCUCAACUUCAGUCCGCUUUGGAUACUGGCAAAAUAGAAUUAUAAAGAGGUUAGCGGAAUUCCUAGUGAAGCGGUGGAAUGCGUAGAUAUUAGGAAGAACACCAAUAGGCGAAGGCAGCUAACUGGUUAUAUAUUGACACUAAGGGACGAAAGCGUGGGGAGCAAACAGGAUUAGAUACCCUGGUAGUCCACGCCGUAAACGAUGAUCAUUAGUUGGUGGAAUAAUUUC